rnacentral:lncRNA from 1 species
AAACGAGCGAACGAGCACAGCGAAGGGUGAGAGCUAACGCAGAGAGCAGCGGAAGAUGAAAGACGACGAUAGUGAAGAGAGUGCGAAGAGGAAAGCAAAAGAAGGGAAGCGCAG